GUAGGUUCCGAGCGUUAUCCGGAUUUACUGGGCGUAAAGCGCGUUCAGGCGGUUUGGCAAGUCGGGCAUGAAAUCUCUCGGCUCAACCGGGAGAGGUUGUCCGAUACUGCUGGACUUGAGGGCAGUAGAGGGUGGUGGAAUUCCGGGUGUAGUGGUGAAAUGCGUAGAUAUCCGGAGGAACACCAGUGGCGAAAGCGGCCACCUGGACUGCACCUGACGCUGACACGCGAAAGCUAGGGGAGCGAACGGGAUUAGAAACCCCGGUAGUCCUAGCUAUAAACGAUGUUGACUAGGUGUCAACGGUCUAAACCCCGCCGGUGCCGGAGCAAACGCAUUAAGUCAACCGCCUGGGGACUACGGCCGCAAGGUUA
rnacentral:rRNA from 1 species